rnacentral:rRNA from 1 species
AGUACGUGGACGUAGACCCGAAACCGGGUGAUCUACCCCUGUCCAGGGUGAAGGUGCGGUAACACGCACUGGAGGCCCGAACCCACGCAUGUUGAAAAAUGCGGGGAUGAGGUGGGGGUAGCGGAGAAAUUCCAAUCGAACUCGGAGAUAGCUGGUUCUCCCCGAAAUAGCUUUAGGGCUAGCCUCGGAAAACAGAGUCGUGGAGGUAGAGCACUGAUUGGGUGCGGGGCCCGCAAGGGUUACCAAGCUCAGUCAAACUCCGAAUGCCAUAGACUUACUUCCGGGAGUCAGACAGUGAGUGCUAAGAUCCAUUGUCAAAAGGGAAACAGCCCAGACCAUCAGCUAAGGUCCCCAAGUGUGUGUUAAGUGGGAAAGGAUGUGGAGUUGCACAGACAACCAGGAUGUUGGCUUAGAAGCAGCCACCAUUGAAAGAGUGCGUAAUAGCUCACUGGUCGAGUGACUCUGCGCCGAAAAUGUAACGGGGCUAAACACACCACCGAAGCUAUGGCUUGAUGCUUUGCAUCAGGGGUAGGGGAGCGUUGUAUAAGGGUUGAAGGUGUACCGUAAGGAGCGCUGGACAUUAUACAAGUGAGAAUGCCGGUAUGAGUAACGAAAAGAUCAGUGAGAAUCUGAUCCGCCGAAAGCCUAAGGGUUCCUGAGGAAGGCUCGUCCGCUCAGGGUAAGUCGGGACCUAAGGCGAGGCCGAAAGGCGUAGUCGAAGGACAACAGGUCGAAAUUCCUGUACCACCGUAAGCCGUUAUGAGCAAUGGGGGGACGCAGUAGGGUAGUGACGCGGACUGAUGGAUGUCCGUCUAAGCAGUAAGGCUGAUGUGUAGGCAAAUCCGCACAUUGUAAGGCUGAGCUGUGAUGGGGAGCGAAAAUUGUAGUAGCGAAGGUCAUGAUCUCACACUGCCAAGAAAAGCCUCUAGCCAGGUGAUGGUGCCCGUACCGCAAACCGACACAGGUAGGCGAGAAGAGUAUUCUAAGGCGCGCGGAAGAACUCUCGUUAAGGAAC